AUGGAGCCCCGGUGGUUCAUUUAGUUGGGGGGGGAAAGGCUUACCAACACGAAGAUGCAUGCCCGAGUUGAGAGACUGACCGAUCACCCUGCGACUGAGAGACGGCCCAACCUCCUACCGGAGGCUGCACGCGGGAAUCUUCCUCUAUGGGCGCAAGCCUGCUGGAUCAACGCCGCGUGUGUGAUGAUGGCUUUCCGGUCUUAAAGCACUGUUGUAUGGGAAGAAAUGCUCCAAUAGGGAAUGAUUUUAAUUUUAUUUUACCGUACCUAACAGGGACGGCUAAAUACGUGCCACUUGCCGCGGUAAUACGUAUGUCCCGAGCGUUAUCCGGAUUUAUUGAUCGAAAAGCGAGCGCAGACGGCUGAUUCAGUCUGAUGUGAAAUCCCGGAGCUCAACUCCGGAAUGCCAUUGGAAACUGGUUAACUUGAGUGUUGUAUAGGUAAGUGGAACUCCAUGUGUAGCGGUGGAAUGCGUAGAUAUAUGGAAGAACACCAGUGGCAAAGGCGGCUUACUGGACAACAACUGACGUUGAUGCUCGAAAGUGUGGAUAGCAAACAAGAUUAGAUACCCUGGUAGUACACACCGUAAACGAUGAAUACUAGGUGUACGAGGUUUCCGCCUCUUAGUGCCGAGUCUAACGCAUUAAGUAUUCCGCCUGUAGAGUACGACCGCUAGGUCGAAACUCAAGGAUUGACGGGGACCACACCAGCGGUGGAUCAUGUGGUUAAUUCGAAGCACGCGAAUACCUUACAGGUCUUGACAUCCUUUGAAGCUUUUAGAGAUAUAAGUGUCUCUUCGAGACAAGUGACAGUGUGCUUGUCGUCGUCACUUCUGUCUGAGAUGUGGUUAACUCCGCACAACCCAACCCUUAUUGUUAGUUGCAGCAUUCAGUUGGGCUUCUACCAGACUGCCGUUGAAAACCGGAGAAGGGGGACGACGUC
rnacentral:rRNA from 1 species